ACCUGGGCUCUGUUGAAGGCUCCUCCCACUCCAGGUGUGGCCACUUUGCUCUCUCUCCCCACUCCCCUUUUUAAUCUCCCCAGGAAAGGCAGAAGCCCUAAGCUAUGCCCAACAGGGCAGAGGGAUCCUCCUCCUGUCAUCACUGUCCAGGAGGCUAAUCUCUGGUACUUCUGACCAUCCCAUCCUGUAAUUCACCACAGAUCUGAUGAACACCUCUGCUAAGAAGAUUUGCGAUCCAGAUUUUGAUCAAGUCAGAAUGAUUACCCCACUUGAACCCUGGAGUGCUGAUAAAACUGCUGUCUGCCACCAAAGAAGCCCACACAAACAGGCUGAGCAGAAACCAAGUGAUCCAUCACUAACAGAACCACAUCCUCUGAUGUUUUUUAUUCUGUAGGCUUUCAUCUUCUUUGCAGCAUGUAUCCCCUUUUCCCACCACACCAGUUCUGACAGUGCUUCAGAGCUUGCAUCAACUAUUUGGGGACCUGAAUUGACUCAGGGGUAUCCCAUGCUGUGGUCAUCACACUCAGUACAAAGAAAGUUUUGCUAUACAGAAGGAGGCUUUCUGCUAGAAACUUCUGUGUGGGCUCCUAUUUUUGAGCACUUCCUUCUUGGCUAUUGUGACUGCUGCACUUCUGCUAGGCUGAGUAUGACAUCAGCCUGGCUAUUUCAUUAAAUCCAUUUUCAUUUAAGCCUGUGGGUCUUCUCUCUUUUUCCUGAUUCCUCUUAUCUCUGAGAAAGGGCCAUUGGGUGAUAGAGUAACUGCUACAGUUUAGCCCCAGGUAUGGCCUAGACACAGGCAAUGUGCAUCACAGUUAAACUUAGACUAACUGUGAAACUACCUAUGAUGAGUAACUAGAGAAAAAGAAGCCAUUCCAGAGGAUAUUGCAAUCACCUGGAUCAGUUCAGUUAAGCUUGACUGAAAUGUAACAUAAAUGCUAUGAUUACAGUUGCUGCUAGCAGACUAAUGAUAGAGACUGAGAUCCUAUUUAUGCAAAUAGCUGCCAUGUAUUAAUUGAUGAAUUAAUAAAUUAAGUGUAAUAAAUUACAUGUUAAUAUUUGAAUAUAA